rnacentral:rRNA from 1 species
CUGACCCAGCAACGCCGCGUGGGUGACGAAGGCCUUCGGGUUGUAAAGCCCUUUUCUGAGGAAGAUGAUGACGGUACCUCAGGAAGAAGCACCGGCUAACUACGUGCCAGCAGCCGCGGUAAUACGUAGGGUGCGAGCGUUGCCCGGAUUUAUUGGGCGUAAAGGGCGCGUAGGCGGCCACGCACGUCCGUUGUGAAAUCGCCCGGCUCAACUGGGCGGGGUCAGCGGAUACGGUGUGGCUAGAGCAAGCUAGGGGGCAAUGGAAUUCCCGGUGUAGUGGUGGAAUGCGUAGAUAUCGGGAGGAACACCAGUGGCGAAGGCGGUUGCCUGGAGCUUUGCUGACGCUGAUGCGCGAAAGCGUGGGGAGCGAUCCGGAUUAGAUACCCGGGUAGUCCACGCCGUAAACGAUGCGGACUAGGUGUCGGGGGUAUCGACCCCCUCGGCGCCGCAGCUAACGCAUUAAGUCCGCCGCCUGGGGACUACGGCCGCAAGGCUAAAACUCAAAGGAAUUGACGGGGGCCCGCACAAGCAGCGGAGCGUGUGGUUUAAUUCGAUGCAACGCGCAGAACCUUACCUCGGCUUGACAUGCACGUGGUACCGACU